rfam:Camelus ferus unplaced genomic scaffold scaffold2757, whole genome shotgun sequence.
GAGGGUAUAGUUCAAGCGGUAGAGUGUGUGCUUAGCAUGCAUAAGGUCCUGAGUUCAAUCCCCAGUACCUACU